UAAUAGCUCACUGGUCGAGUCGGCCUGCGCGGAAGAUGUAACGGGGCUAAACCAUGCACCGAAGCUGCGGCAGCGACGCUUAUGCGUUGUUGGGUAGGGGAGCGUUCUGUAAGCCGUUGAAGGUGUGCUGUGAGGCAUGCUGGAGGUAUCAGAAGUGCGAAU
rnacentral:rRNA from 1 species